rnacentral:rRNA from 1 species
UGGGGAAUAUUGCACAAUGGGCGCAAGCCUGAUGCAGCCAUGCCGCGUGUAUGAAGAAGGCCUUCGGGUUGUAAAGUACUUUCAGUCGGGAGGAAGGUGUCAAGGUUAAUAACCUUGGCAAUUGACGUUACCGACAGAAGAAGCACCGGCUAACUCCGUGCCAGCAGCCGCGGUAAUACGGAGGGUGCAAGUGUUAAUCGGAAUUACUGGGCGUAAAGCGCACGCAGGCGGUUGAUUGAGUCAGAUGUGAAAUCCCCGGGCUUAACCCGGGAAUUGCAUCUGAUACUGGUCAGCUAGAGUCUUGUAGAGGGGGGUAGAAUUCCAUGUGUAGCGGUGAAAUGCGUAGAGAUGUGGAGGAAUACCGGUGGCGAAGGCGGCCCCCUGGACAAAGACUGACGCUCAGGUGCGAAAGCGUGGGGAGCAAACAGG